rnacentral:rRNA from 1 species
UACGUAGGGUGCGAGCGUUGUCCGGAAUUAUUGGGCGUAAAGAGCUCGUAGGCGGUGUGUCGCGUCGGUCGUGAAAACUUGGGGCUUAACCCUGAGCUUGCGGUCGAUACGGGCAUCACUGGAGUUCGGCAGGGGAGAAUGGAAUUCCUGGUGUAGCGGUGGAAUGCGCAGAUAUCAGGAGGAACACCGGUGGCGAAGGCGGGUCUCUGGGCCGAUACUGACGCUGAGGAGCGAAAGCGUGGGGAGCGAACAGG